AUUGAACGCUGGCGGCAGGCUUAACACAUGCAAGUCGAGCGGAGAUGAGGUGCUUGCACCUUAUCUUAGCGGCGGACGGGUGAGUAAUGCUUAGGAAUCUGCCUAUUAGUGGGGGACAACAUUCCGAAAGGAAUGCUAAUACCGCAUACGUCCUACGGGAGAAAGCAGGGGAUCUUCGGACCUUGCGCUAAUAGAUGAGCCUAAGUCGGAUUAGCUAGUUGGUGGGGUAAAGGCCUACCAAGGCGACGAUCUGUAGCGGGUCUGAGAGGAUGAUCCGCCACACUGGGACUGAGACACGGCCCAGACUCCUACGGGAGGCAGCAGUGGGGACUAUUGGACAAUGGGCGGAAGCCUGAUCCAGCCAUGCCGCGUGUGUGAAGAAGGCCUUUUGGUUGUAAAGCACUUUAAGCGAGGAGGAGGCUACCUAGAUUAAUACUCUGGGAUAGUGGACGUUACUCGCAGAAUAAGCACCGGCUAACUCUGUGCCAGCAGCCGCAGUAAAAC
rnacentral:rRNA from 1 species